rnacentral:rRNA from 1 species
GACGAACGCUGGCGGCGCGCUUAACACAUGCAAGUCGAACGGAAAGGCCUGCUUUCCCUUGUGGAUUGCGGGUACUCGAGUGGCGAACGGGUGAGUAACACGUGAGUGAUCUGCCCCCAACUUGGGUAUAAGCCUGGGAAACUGGGUCUAAUUCCCGAUAGGACUGCAGGGUGGUGCCGGUGGUGGAAAACGAUUUUCUAGUGGUUGGGGAUGAGCUCGCGGCCUAUCAGCUUGUUGGUGGGGUAAUGGCCUACCAAGGCGGCGACGGGUAGCCGGCCUGAGAGGGUGGACGGCCACAUUGGGACUGAGAUACGGCCCAGACUCCUACGGGCGGCAGCAGUGGGGAAUAUUGCACAAUGGGCGGAAGCCUGAUGCAGCGACGCCGCGUGGGGGAUGACGGCCUUCGGGUUGUAAACUCCUUUCGACCGCGAGGAAGCCACCUGGUUGGGAGGGUGGUGACGGUAGUGGUAGAAGAAGCACCGGCUAACUACGUG